rnacentral:rRNA from 1 species
GGACGGGUGAGUAACACGUGGGUAACCUACCUAUAUCUGACUGGGAUAACUUCGGGAAACCGGAGCUAAUACCGGAUAACAUUUGGAACCGCAUGGUUCUAAAGUGAAAGAUGGUUUUGCUAUCACUUAUAGAUGGACCCGCGCCGUAUUAGCUAGUUGGUAAGGUAACGGCUUACCAAGGCGACGAUACGUAGCCGACCUGAGAGGGUGAUCGGCCACACUGGAACUGAGACACGGUCCAGACUCCUACGGGAGGCAGCAGUAGGGAAUCUUCCGCAAUGGGCGAAAGCCUGACGGAGCAACGCCGCGUGAGUGAUGAAGGGUUUCGGCUCGUAAAACUCUGUUAUUAGGGAAGAACAAACGUGUAAGUAACUGUGCACGUCUUGACGGUACCUAAUCAGAAAGCCACGGCUAACUACGUGCCAGCAGCCGCGGUAAUACGUAGGUGGCAAGCGUUAUCCGGAAUUAUUGGGCGUAAAGCGCGCGUAGGCGGUUUCUUAAGUCUGAUGUGAAAGCCCACGGCUCAACCGUGGAGGGUCAUUGGAAACUGGGAAACUUGAGUGCAGAAGAGGAAAGUGGAAUUCCAUGUGUAGCGGUGAAAUGCGCAGAGAUAUGGAGGAACACCAGUGGCGAAGGCGACUUUCUGGUCUGUAACUGACGCUGAUGUGCGAAAGCGUGGGGAUCAAACAGGAUUAGAUACCCUGGUAGUCCACGCCGUAAACGAUGAGUGCUAAGUGUUAGGGGGUUUCCGCCCCUUAGUGCUGCAGCUAACGCAUUAAGCACUCCGCCUGGGGAGUACGACCGCAAGGUUGAAACUCAAAGGAAUUGACGGGGACCCGCACAAGCGGUGGAGCAUGUGGUUUAAUUCGAAGCAACGCGAAGAACCUUACCAAAUCUUGACAUCCUUUGAAAACUCUAGAGAUAGAGCCUUCCCCUUCGGGGGACAAAGUGACAGGUGGUGCAUGGUUGUCGUCAGCUCGUGUCGUGAGAUGUUGGGUUAAGUCCCGCAACGAGCGCAACCCUUAAGCUUAGUUGCCAUCAUUAAGUUGGGCACUCUAGGUUGACUGCCGGUGACAAACCGGAGGAAGGUGGGGAUGACGUCAAAUCAUCAUGCCCCUUAUGAUUUGGGCUACACACGUGCUACAAUGGACAAUACAAAGGGCAGCUAAACCGCGAGGUCAUGCAAAUCCCAUAAAGUUGUUCUCAGUUCGGAUUGUAGUCUGCAACUCGACUACAUGAAGCUGGAAUCGCUAGUAAUCGUAGAUCAGCAUGCUACGGUGAAUACGUUCCCGGGUCUUGUACACACCGCCCGUCACACCACGAGAGUUUGUAACACCCGAAGCCGGUGGAGUAACCAUUUAUGGAAGCUAACCAC